rnacentral:rRNA from 1 species
CCUACGGGAGGCAGCAGUGGGGAAUAUUGCACAAUGGGGGAAACCCUGAUGCAGCGACGCCGCGUGAGUGAAGAAGUAUUUCGGUAUGUAAAGCUCUGUCAGCAGGGAAGAAAAUGACGGUACCUGACCAAGAAGCCCCGGCUAACUACGUGCCAGCAGCCGCGGUAAUACGUAGGGGGCAAGCGUUAUCCGGAUUUACUGGGUGUAAAGGGAGCGUAGACGGCAGGGCAAGUCUGGAGUGAAAGGCGGGGGCUCAACCCCCGGACUGCUCUGGAAACUGCCAGGCUGGAGUGCAGGAGAGGUAGGUGGAAUUCCUGGUGUAGCGGUGAAAUGCGUAGAUAUUAGGAAGAACCCCGAUGGCGAAGGCAGCUUACUGGACUGUAACUGACAUUGAGGCUCGAAAGCGUGGGGAGCAAACAGGAUUAGAUACCCGAGUAGUC